CAGGAAGGACCAAAUAAGGAAAACAGGAACUAAACGGGAACAUACACGUGACCAAGAUAGUCAAGCUUUAAGCAUUUACAUGUUUAAUUUGAUCCUGUAUCAGAUUAUUUCAGUUCUACACUACCCCUUUCAAUCUGAUCGAAAGUGUUUACAGGAAGGUUUUGCCAUCCAGUUGAGCCAUCAAUCCAAUUACUAACAGAUUGUUUGGGUGCAGGUAAACGUAAUCUUGACAUAUCAAAUGUUUUGUUUAUUUAUAGCUGGCUGUGAAAAUGUGUUUUCAAGAUGGGCAUUUUGGCCAAAAGAUGUCGUAUUGCAAGAUGCGAGUGCUCUUCACAUACUGUAUAUACAAAUUAGCAUUAUAAUGUUCCAUCUUUACUAUUUAUCAUUGUCAUCUUGACAACACUACCACAGCUAGCGGGAAAUGUUCUCAGAACUUUUCUUUUAAAAAAUUGAUGUUUUGAACCUUUCAGAAAUAAUGUUUUCUUAACUCAAUGGGAACAUUAGCAAAAUGUUCUUGGAAUAUGUUUUUGUUAGCUUGGACAGAGGAACAUUGAUGAUGAAAUGCCAGUAUGUUGAGUUUUGGAUGCUGCUGUUCUACACCUAAUUUAACCAGCAAACCUCUCUUGUUCAGGCAGCUUUGUCAACUGUAAACUGACAUUUUUAACAGUAAUAUUUAAGAAAUGGAACAUUUCACAGUCCACGCUGAUGUUUGAUUGUUUGGUUAACAUACCUUUGUGGUUAAAGAAAGGUGGUUGAAAUCCAGCAAGGGUCAAUCCAUGAAAUCUCACCAUUGUGUCCUUGAUCAAACUCUCAGGAACUAAACUUGUAAGAAGUGCACUGAAAGACGCAGUGGACAGAAGCAGCUACAAAGUGCCAAAAAUGUGUUUUAUGUAAUGUAUGGUUUUAUAGUAUAUUUUGUGUCUGUUACUGACUGCUGCUCAAGCUGUGUACUGGUGUUCAGCAUCUGAAUUGUAUUUUAAUCACAGUUCACAAAUGUGUGUUCAGUGAUAGAACAAUGACAUUUGAUAUUUAUUGUAGCUUUCAGAUGUUUGCUGCUACCACUGAAUGUCUUAAUUGUUGAAAUGUGCAAAAGUGAAUGUUCUUCUUUGUAUUUUGCUGCAUCAAAAGUGUUGUAAAGUAUAACAUGCUGCCAUUUGAGAUACUGAUUAGGUUUUUUACUGCCAAGUUCUUGCAUUUCAUGUGAGGAGGGAGAUGGAGACCUGUGGGGCGUGUAAGAAUGUCAUCACUGCAUGAUAGAAAUGAUCGCCUGUAUUUGAACAGGAAAAGUUCAUCAGAUCUGUUUCACGUUCAGAGUCAUCUCAACUGCCUACUGAACACUGUCUUACAAGAACAAUAGGAUUUAUGAAUGCCAUCAUGGUGCCUAUUUUUGUAAUGGUAAUUUUAUAGGAAAAAUUGCUCUGUCAGAGCUGAAGUACCAAUAGGCCAAACUCAUCAAAAGCCUGUGAUACAAGCUCUGGAAGAGAUGAUCAUUUAGUGCCUUUUUGAGCAGAAUAUCUUGACACAAUUUCUUUGCUUUCUUUAACAUUGCUUCAGCCAAGGAAAGGGUGCCUUAUACUUUGAGCCCCUGCAUUUUCUUACAGAUAGAUGGCAAUAAAAACAGAUCUGAUUAACCCA